UACAGAGGGUGCAAACGUUGCUCGGAUUUACUGGGCGUAAAGCGCUUGUAGGCGGGCGACUAAGUCGGAUGUGAAAUCCCUGGGCUCAACCUAGGAACUGCAUUCGAAACUGGUCACCUAGAGUGAUGGAGAGGAAAGCGGAAUUCCCGGUGUAGAGGUGAAAUUCGUAGAUAUCGGGAGGAACACCAGUGGCGAAGGCGGCUUUCUGGACAUUUACUGACGCUGAGACGCGAAAGCGUGGGGAGCAAACAGG
rnacentral:rRNA from 1 species